AUGAAAGAGGGAAGUAUUUAAAGAUUUUUGGUGAAAGUCCCAUAUUUUUUGGAUUAAAAAUGAAAUUAAUAUGAAUUAAUCAAAAUAAGUGGAUUAAAUGAAAAAACAGAAAAUACAAAAAAAACAAGGGCCAUCAGAUCUCCCUCAUUAAUUGAGGUGGAAGAUCUGAUGGCCACACGAGCGCUUUCCACCAUACGCCCUGGUCAAUGCGUUGUACGCGUGAUAAUGGUAAGACCCCAAUUUUGACCCUAAGAUCCCUCAUGAUAUCUCAUCAUAUGCAUUAGCAUUGGGAUCACACCUUGG
rnacentral:lncRNA from 1 species